GCCGGGGGCGCGUUUCCCACAAGGCCGAAAGGAGCGCAGCGUCUCUCUAGCCCCGCACUGGCCGGCGAGGUCGCACGGCCCUCGGUUCUGAGCGUAGGGAGCUCCUGUCCGCGCGUAAUUUAGCACCAAUGACGGCAGCGUUGUGCGUCUUUAAGGUCACGCCCCCGGGGCUCCUGCUGCACUGGCACCGCUUGGGACUCCGGCUGGAGCUCCUGAGGCAGGGGAUAUGCGGCGAGGCCGGGGGUCCUGCAUCCCGAACCGAAAGGUCCGGGUCGCGAGAGACUGCACCACUAGGGACUAGGCAGGCGUGCAGCCAGGGACCCAGCGGAACAGGAGAGCCACUCCCUCCCCACCUGGCAGGGUCCUUGGUGGUCUGAGUGGGGAGCCGGCUCUUUCCUGAAUGGAGGCAUGAGGGGAGUUGGCAGGUUUGCUGGGUCCUUCCGGAAUGGAGGCAGGAGGGAGCUGGCAGGUUCGCUGGGUCCUUGUCCGUCUGAGAAGAACAAGGCUUCCUUGUUAGCAUCCCUGCCUCCCUGGAACAAAGGGGCAGGCAGCCACCAAGGCGCUCUCCAGGGCUCCCACCUCCUCAAGUUCACAGCCAAGGUGUACCUGCACCCACAGAACCCAUGGAUGACCAGCAGCCUACCCUGUACAGCUGGCCCACCGUGUGUCCGUGUGCAUCUCCUGCUGGAGCCCCAAGCCCUCAACCCCAAGAGUGAACUCAUGAUCAUUUAAAGGCUGCCCUGGGACUCCCCAGUGGUCCAGUGGUUAAGACACACUGCUUCCAGUGCAGGGGGCAGUGGGUUCAAUCCCUAGUUGGGGAACUAACUGACCAAAAAAAAAGUAAUGCCCCAUAAAUAUUUAUACAAAAUGGAAUAAAAUAAGAAAAGCCUGCCCCUCCCA
rnacentral:lncRNA from 1 species